rnacentral:rRNA from 1 species
UACAGAGGGGGCAAGCGUUAUUCGGAAUUAUUGGGCGUAAAGGGCGCGUAGGCGGUCUCUCAAGUGGAUGGUGAAAUCCCCGGGCUUAACCUGGGAACUGCCGUCCAAACUGAGCGACUUGAGUCCGGGAGAGGUAAGUGGAAUUCCCAGUGUAGCGGUGAAAUGCGUAGAUAUUGGGAGGAACACCAGUGGCGAAGGCGGCUUACUGGACCGGAACUGACGCUGAGGCGCGAAAGCGUGGGGAGCAAACAGG